rnacentral:rRNA from 1 species
UACAGAGGUCCCAAGCGUUGUUCGGAUUCAUUGGGCGUAAAGGGUGCGUAGGCGGCGCGGGUAAGUCGGGUGUGAAAUCUCGGGGCUUAAACUCCGAAACUGCAUUCGAUACUGCCGUGCUUGAGGACUGGAGAGGAGACUGGAAUUUACGGUGUAGCGGUGAAAUGCGUAGAUAUCGUAAGGAAGACCAGUGGCGAAGGCGGGUCUCUGGACAGUUCCUGACGCUGAGGCACGAAGGCCAGGGGAGCAAACGGG